GUUCCUAGUUCUGGAGCAACAGACCUGCUUACUUACUUACUUACUUUUCGCCUAGUGUCCUCGUUGCUCACCUCUGGAAGAGCGUAAAGAUGAAGCCCGCAUCGGCGCCGCCUCUGAUCAUCUUCUUGGUGUUGAACUGACACCUGAAGCCUAUCUGACAGAAGAUGGUCAAGGGGUCUAGUGGGUAUUCAGGACCUGCCAGAUCAGAAAUCCGUCUGCUUGGCCACAUCACGUGGUGAUGUUGUUUUGUACAACCUUAGCAUCAAUCAGGUAGUUGGAGUGUGUUGGAAGAGUGGACAGUGGUCUGACUGCAAUUAGUUUAGGUCCAAACCAAGAGAUGGUUGCGUUCUGCACAGGUAGGUAUUAGUCAUCAUGGUUCAUAAAGACACACUGUACUCUUACACAUUAAGACUAUUCCAUGGAAGCUAAAGGAUGCGACACUGACCAGUGGGAUAUGCAUGUUGGGCCUCCUGCAUUGAAUGUGGAUGUGGGUGCGCACCAACAACACUGACAAUUCUAGCCAAAUGUCGCCACAUACUGCCCUGUCCACUGUUGGGGUAAAAGUAUGUUACUAUACUUUAAAUAUACUUUAUAUGUUAUGUUAAUUAAACAAUUUGCACACUUUCCCAAAGUUUCUUUAAUAUGAAGUAGGAAAUAGGCCUUUCAUUGGUUAGUUGAUGCAGUGUAUGCUUUUUACUGAGCAGUAACUUUGUUUUUAAUGAGACAAUUAGAAGGGAUGGAAGCGAAAAAACAGCUCUGCUGUCUCGCUUUGUUGAUCAGAGAAGAAAGGAAGGAAGGCCUCCUGGGUUUGCGGCGCUCCAUGAGAGGAGGUGGAGUCCAUUUCCUUUGGUGCCGCCCCCAAAACAUCCAGCCAGUUGUGAUUGGCAGCGUCCGUUUUUUAACGGUGAACUGAUGGAGCUGGCAGGAAUGACUGGAAACGGCCACAGGAAGUUCUUGUGCAGGCGUUUGAGGGCAAUGACAAAUUCUUCGACACGGGUGAUGUGAGUGCGCUCCCGGCACCCCCAGCCAAUCAGCUCGAAGCCCAGCUGAGCGAUGAAACAGCCCAGGUCCCUCAGAUGCACCUGCUCCAGCAGCCGCCGCGAAUGACGCCACAACAUCGAACCUAUGUUCUCAGCACUCUCGCCGUCCUUCCUAUAUGCACACACACACAUUACAAUGAAAUACACUUUGUGUGUAUAUAUGUUUUAGUUACAUAGACCAGCAGUUCAUAUCCAUACACUCUGAUAUCUUCUUUCUCAAUCAGAACAGAGGAAUCUGAAGACAGAAUACAAGACUGAUACCUGAUGGGCAGGGUUUAAACACAACACACAAUAAACGGCUGCCUGACACCAAUCUGUGCAUUUUUAAUAGCUUGAUGUAUAUUUAUGUAUUUGCCUAGCUUCAGCCUAGUUCAGCUCACAUUCCAAAACCUCUAAAAACCUCUUAAAAAUUGUUUCUAAUACUUGAAAAGAGUCUAAAUUAAAUAAACAAUUACUUAAAGGAUAUUUGAAAUACUUAUUUAUGUACAUAGGCAUAGGAACCAGGGGGGAUGGGUGACGUGUCCCACCCAAAAUCAGAAACAGGUGGAUUGGCCAACCCCCCCCCUUCACUUAUAAUGAGGAUUUUUCUUAACUAUAUAUUUUUGUGCCAAAUCAGAGAUGUAUAGUAACGAAGUAGAACUACUUCACUAUUGUUAUGGCUGUGCCUGUUUUUCCUGUGCUUUCUUUGUUUUCUCUUGCUCUGUCUCUGUACCUCCAUGUCCCUAGGUGGUGCUGUUCUAGAUGCUGUCUCCAGCCCUUCCUGGAAGUGAAUAAAAAAGGCGGGAAAUCCACCAUCCCGAGGACUGUUUGACUGGCUGUUUGAGAGAGAGAGAGCUAGAGCUGUGUGUUUUAGUGGCUGCGUCCAGAAACUUUUGCUACUCCUCCUCUCCUACUCCCCCUUUCCUACUCCUCCUCUCCUACUCCGGAAGAAGGUGGAGGAAUCGAGGAGAAGAGAGGAGGAGGAGGAAUGGAGGGAAGGAGCUGUAAUUGGGGAAAUGGGACAGCUGAUCCCUUUUAGAUAGGAUGUUGACUACCGUUGAACUGAGCCAAUCACAACGCUCACUUUCAGCACGUUUCAGAACAUUACUAUCACACACAGCCAAAAAUUCAGUAUUCCAAUAAAAUCCUGUUUACUCCCAGCCGCAUUUUAGGCCGCAUCUCUGACCACUGACUCUGGCAGCCCUGUCUGACCUCAGCCUUAUGAGGGAUUCAGUUUCCUCAUCAGUCCCUAAGUUAAAAUAAAUAAGUAAAUAAAUGAAUUAAUUAAAAUUAUAUAUACAUAUUAUAAAUAAUAUAUGUUUUUAUAUGUGUAACAUGAUACACAUAGGGUCAUAAAUAUAGUUUUACUGAGCAUACAGUUUAUCUAAACUAUAAAUUAUAUUACUGCUUUACUGGCUGUUUAAUUAGAUAAGGAACCUAGUUAAUUAAUAUGUUUAUGACGUAUAUUUGGGCGUUGCCUUCCCCAUUUUCGCGUGCUCUGUGGGCGUGGAUGCAGUGAUGUCAUUGGAAAAUCCUUAAAAGUCUUCCGGAGUAGGAUACACUGAUGUAACCUCCGUUGGAAGCCUACUACAGGUGGAUUUUAAGCGGCUUCUUUCGUCUCCUACGGUAUUCGGACAGGCGGCAAGAUGGCGUCACGAAAUCAGUUUCCGGGUCACGGAGGAGAGGAGGAGGAUCGGUAGGAAAAAGGAGACACUUUUGGGGUUUCUGGACGCAGCCAGUGUGUGUGCUGAUUUGGAGCUAUAUCUGUGUGCUUUGCUGUGUGUUGCUAGUUUAGUGUGCUCUUUGUUGGCUUGUGUGUGAGGCCUAACUUUUGUGUUCAUUGUGUUUGUGCCAGAAGGGGGUAAGUGCCAUUUGUGUUGUACAUUUAUUUUCUCCUGUUUAUGGUCAGUUAGGGAGUUAGGGUUAGUUUCUGUAUUUUCUUUGCUUUUCAUUUGGUUAGAUUAGUUAGAAUUGUGGGUAGAGUUAGAGUGGGUUUUGUUUAUUAUUUUGGCCUUGCUUACCCCUGGAGAGAUGGCUUAUUUGUUUGUAAAUAAUUGUAAAUACACUUUUGAUAUUUGAAACGUU